rnacentral:rRNA from 1 species
AUGCUCCGCCUCCGGUGCUCCAUCCUCACCCACCUCCUCUCUUUCCGGGCCACCUCUCCCGUAUCCCCUCUCCACCGCCUCCUCUCCGCGGCCGUCUCCCCCGACCCUGUCUCCGCCUUCGCCGUCGACGACUACCUCGUCCGUACCUGCGGCCUCACCCCAGCACAGGCCCUCAAGGCCUCCCCCAAACUCUCCCACCUCAAAUCCCCCGCCAACCCCGACGCCGUGCUCGCCUUCCUCGCCGGCCUCGGCCUCUCCGGCGCCGACGUCGCCGCCGCCGUAGCCAGGGACCCGCAUCUGCUCUGCGCCCAAGUGGAGAAGACCCUGGCCCCCGUCGUCGCCGGGCUCACCGGCCUCGGUCUCUCGCCUUCUGAGAUCGCACACCUCGUCUCGCUUGGCCCCCACAGAUUCCGUCGCAGAUCCAUCGUCUCCAAGCUUGAGUACUGCCUGACCCUCUUCGGCUCCUCCGACAACCUCUUUAGAGCCCUCAAGAGUGGCUCCGUUCUCUCCUCCGACCUCGAGGGGGUGGUCAAGCCCAAUGUCACCUUCCUGCAGGAGUGCGGGCUAGGUGCUUGUGACAUUGCCAAGCUCUACGUACUUAUGCCAUCGUCGCUCAGCAUCAGCACGGAACACAUCCGGACAGCAGUGGCGUGCGUCGAAGGUCUUGGUGUACCCCGUGGAUCUCGGAUGUUCAAGCACGCGCUACGAGCUGUUGCAUUCCUCAGCGAGGAGGAAAUCACCACCAAGAUAGAGCACUUGAAGAAAACGUUCAGGUGGUCAGAUGCCGAGGUGGGCAUUGCUGUUUCUAAGGCUCCAGGAGUGCUGUCGAAGUCUAAAGAAUCGCUGGAGCGAAGGUUCGAGUUCCUCAUCUCCGAGGUGGGGUUGGAACCGGCAUACAUUGCUUAUCGUCCAGCAAUGCUCAUGUACAGCUUGGAGGGCAGGAUGAGACCUCGAUACUACGCUGUAAAGUUUCUUAAGGAAAAUGGAUUGAUAGAUCAUGACCGGGACUUCUUUAAUACAGUCAUGGUCAGUGAGAAGGUAUUCGUCGAGAAGUUCAUAUGCCCUCAUAAGGAUGCUGCACCUCACCUCGCUGAUGACUAUGGAGCAGCUUGCAGAGGAGAGGUUCCAGCUAGAUUCAGUUUCACAUGA